CCUACGGGGUGCUGCAGUGGGGAAUAUUGGGCAAUGGGCGCAAGCCUGACCCAGCAACGCCGCGUGAAGGAAGAAGGCUCUCGGGUUGUAAACUUCUUUUAAUGGGGAAGAGCAGAAGACGGUACCCCUUGAAUAAGCCAUGGCUAACUACGUGCCAGCAGCCGCGGUAAUACGUAGGUGGCAAGCGUUGUCCGGAUGUACUGGGUGUAAAGGGCGUGCAGCCGGAGAGACAAGUCAGAUGUGAAAUCCACGGGCUCAACCCGUGAACUGCAUUUGAAACUGUUUCACUUGAGUGUCGGAGAGGUAAUCGGAAUUCCUUGUGUAGCGGUGAAAUGCGUAGAUAUAAGGAAGAACACCAGUGGCGAAGGCGGAUUACUGGACGAUAACUGACGGUGAGGCGCGAAAGCGUGGGGAGCAAACAGGAUUAGAUACCCUUGUAGUC
rnacentral:rRNA from 1 species